rnacentral:lncRNA from 1 species
GGGAUGGGUUAACACAUAAUAUGUUGGAGCAGAUUCUUUCGCAUUGGCGAAGGGAUCCGGUUUGUAAGGUGCGGUGUCUUGGCGUUCCGACUGUUGACAUGCGAAACCUCUAUCGCGUUUUGCAGGUAGCACAUAUAGUAUAAAAGUUUGUUGGGCUAGAUGGUAAAACUACUGAGAAAAGGAGGGCUAUGCUGAAACAUGUGGCAGAUUUGGAGGGUUGCAACUGUAACUGGGCUCUACGUGCAAGGGACUAAGGAGGUAUAUAUUAAAUGAUGUACCACACUUAUGUAUUUCAUAUGUUUUUUAGUUUAGACCAUAGAGUGUUUCCUGUUAUAUUGAUUGUUAUCUGCAAGUAAUAUAAGAUUAGUUACCUGCAACUUAGAGCCAGGUGGUUUGUGUUU